GGAAAAAAGCUAGUGGUCUUUUUACUGAUUCUGUGUAAUUUUUAUCUGAAAGACAGUUGGGAUGAGAAAGAAGUUGGGGAAAAACUGGUCCUUGCUGUGUGACUGUAGAAGGGAGAAACAAACGUCUAGCAGGGAUUGUUCCAGCUGGUGUAUGGCAGCCCGGUGUACCUGCAACAAGCAAGCUGGCCCCUACCUUCUGCUUAGCAAGCCAAAUAAUAGUUAGCCAGUAUUGCCUCCAAUUACAACAGGUACUGUGACUUCGUAUCUUAGUUUGUUCUCUUAAACUACCUGCAGUUCUCCUAUCCAGCAGUACUGUGAAUGACAGCCCUGCUUCUCCUUCUCAGAGAGAGCUGAUUACUGAGACGGCAGCCAUGUCUGGAGAACUUAGAAAGAGGAAAACUCUGAAUCCUGAGCAUUAGCUAUAGUAGAAAAUCCAGAACUCUUCAACCUCUGUAUCUGACCUCUACACAAACUGUUCGGCAGUGGGAGAGUGAAAUAUGCAGCUGUAUCUAUUCCUAUCGUAUUAGCAGUUAUGGUCUUUCUGUUGCUUUUAUGGCACCUUCUCUCACGAUCAGCUGAGCUCAUGAGAAACUGAGGAAGAAUCAUAAAACUGUUGGUUGGGAGGAGCCCCAGCCUGAUGCUCGGACCAGAACUUACAGCAGCAGUAGCUCAAGUCAGCCUGUCGUACGCAAACAGCCAUUCACCACAUUUAAAACCAGACUUACUUUCGUUCCAGCUAGCCUCACCUCUGUCAGGGAUGGAACUUGCAAAUUAAAUGUAUAAUGGAGAGCCAGGGACAGAUAAUACAAGGAUGUGACUUGUAACUUUUGCCACUUAUUGCUGCUUUGUUCCCAGUCCUAAACACCAGGAUACAGACCUGAACCAGAGGAAAGGGAAGGCAGUGUACUGUAAUUCAUUAGCAAUCCCUUGAUUUUGCCAGUGGGACUCUCAGUAAUCUCACAAUUUUUCAAAAACAGUAUGUUCUCUCCAUAUACGUUACAAGGUCAGCUUUUCCAAAUUUUAUAAAAAGAUGCUAUUGCUUGUAUGUGAUUGUACCUCUUAUCAAAUACUUUUGGCAAAACAAAAUUGGCAAGUGAUUUUUUUUUUUUCCCCCAUAAUGAAUGUUAACUUUAUUUUGAACAUGCAGUAGAUAUUUUUUCCCCCACAAAUUUAAAUUUCAGAUUGUACAGUAUGUUCUGUGUAUAUGCAUGCGUUUAUAUUUACAUUAGAAUAUAAUGGAUCAUAGUUAAGUAUUUUUUUGCAGGAAUGUGAAAAUAGUCAUGUGGAAAACCACGAGCUAUUUAAAAACAAGUUAUAUACUCAGAGGAAAACUGAAAGACCUAGAAACAAGCA